AGCGAUGUGGUACAGAGCUCAAUUUAGCCUCUGCCCCGCUAGACCACAUUUUCGGAUCAAGCAUAAAUUGGCUUUUAGCCACGGCCUCGCGAGCGUUACAGGUGCGCGCCAACAGGUGAUUUUGAUUCGAUUGUCACAGAACGCCUCUUCUCUUUUUAUUUUUAUGAAUGGUUUAGUCAACAUAAUGUUGCAAUUUGGCUAGUUUAGGUUUCAACACAACAAGAAAAAUGGAUCUCUCAAAGAUUUCCGUUGCGAAGAGGAGAAACAGAAAUGCAACCAAAGGGAAAAAAGUUACUCACAAGUCAAAUGUUUCACCGGCGAUCAGUAGACUCAUUCAAGACACUUCAAAUCAUAUUCCAUUGGGACGACAACUUCAUAGGACACCGCCAACGUCAGAGUUGAAAAUAACUUGGCCUUUGAGCUUUGAAAUACAAACGAUUGAAACCACCGCUGGGCAAGAACCCUUGUCUCCCGCGCUAAAUAUGACCAUGGACCUUUACACAAUCGAGCCUGCAGAAACAGAAACGUGCCGACGGUCUCGCAUCACUUCAAGCACACUCUGUUCAGGCAGUGUGCUGGAAGAGGACCCCUACUCAUUGAUAAGAGGCAUGCAGGGCUAUGAGGUUACCCCGGCAGACCUUGUAUUCCUGAAGAGAGCCAGGCAGGAGAGGCAGAUCAACGCCUUACAGGUGAAAAUCCAUAUAUCUGAUGGUGAAAACACCCACUUGAUUAUUUUAUUGACUGAUGCUCAUGGUACCUCAAAUUGAAAUUACGCAGCCAUUUUGUGCUGCUUUG